UGCUUCCUCGCCGGCGAGCGGCGGACGGGUGAGUAAUGUCUGGGGAUCUGCCCGAUGGAGGGGGAUAACCACUGGAAACGGUGGCUAAUACCGCAUAACGUCGCAAGACCAAAGUGGGGGACCUUCGGGCCUCACACCAUCGGAUGAACCCAGAUGGGAUUAGCUAGUAGGUGGGGUAAUGGCUCACCUAGGCGACGAUCCCUAGCUGGUCUGAGAGGAUGACCAGCCACACUGGAACUGAGACACGGUCCAGACUCCUACGGGAGGCAGCAGUGGGGAAUAUUGCACAAUGGGCGCAAGCCUGAUGCAGCCAUGCCGCGUGUGUGAAGAAGGCCUUCGGGUUGUAAAGCACUUUCAGCGAGGAGGAAGGUGGUGAGCUUAAUACGCUCAUCAAUUGACGUUACUCGCAGAAGAAGCACCGGCUAACUCCGUGCCAGCAGCCGCGGUAAUACGGAGGGUGCAAGCGUUAAUCGGAAUUACUGGGCGUAAAGCGCACGCAGGCGGUUUGUUAAGUCAGAUGUGAAAUCCCCGAGCUUAACUUGGGAACUGCAUUUGAAACUGGCAAGCUAGAGUCUCGUAGAGGGGGGUAGAAUUCCAGGUGUAGCGGUGAAAUGCGUAGAGAUCUGGAGGAAUACCGGUGGCGAAGGCGGCCCCCUGGACGAAGACUGACG
rnacentral:rRNA from 1 species